rnacentral:rRNA from 1 species
UACGGAGGAUGCGAGCGUUAUCCGGAUUUAUUGGGUUUAAAGGGUGCGUAGGCGGAUCGUUAAGUCAGCGGUAAAAUCGAGAGGCUCAACCUCUUUCCGCCGUUGAAACUGUCGGUCUUGAGUGGGCGAGAAGUAUGCGGAAUGCGUGGUGUAGCGGUGAAAUGCAUAGAUAUCACGCAGAACUCCGAUUGCGAAGGCAGCAUACCGGCGCCCGACUGACGCUGAGGCACGAAAGCGUGGGUAUCGAACAGG